GCUUGGGAAGGGCUCGGCAGCAGUUCCAGGACCAGCUACAUGGGCAUGUCCGGAGGGGAUGGAUCCAAGUUCAAGUUAUUUGCUCAAAAUGAAAUUGUUUGGCAAUCGAAAGAAAGCUCGAAAGGACAUAAGAUGUUUUUCUUUUGAGAAGGUCAUCGAUUAUGACUUGACAAAUUAUAAGGAUUUGGUUGAAUCAAUUGUAGAGCAGUAUCUGCCGGGUUAUUUGGAAGUUGCACAUGUGCAGUAUUAUGAUGAUAUUCCUAAAACUUGUCCAGAAGUAAAAUCUGACCAAGAUUUGAUGCUUAUGUUUGAAAAACACAACGAGACAAAGGUGCUGCACAUGAUUAUUGCAUAUUGUGAGCCCUGUGAAACAUAUGAGCCUAUCACCGAGUGGCAAAGUGAUGUGCAACAGCACAGUACUAUAGAAGAUGAUGAUGAUAAUUACCUUUGCAACCCAAGACCUGAGAAUGAGCAUGUUGGCGUUGAUGAGGAGAAUAUGUAUGAAGUGGAUGAACCUAUCUCCUUAGAUGUGGUUCUUUGUCCUAAUAAAGAAAGGGACAAAGACAAUAUUUUUGAGGAUGAUAGCGAGGUUGAGAGUGAAGUAGAGGAUGAUGAAGUAGAGGAUGAUGAGGAGUUGCAUGAGGCAGAGCAUCCUCCACAUGUAGAGUAUGACAAAUUAAACCUCCAAUGACAAAGGGCUUUAUAUAUCCCAACAUGAAAGAGUUCAAAUUGGCAGUUUCUCAGCAUGCAAUCAAACGUGAAUUUGAGUAUAACACCGAGUAUAGUACACGUCAUCGGUUUAGGGGCUAUUGUUCAAGACGGGAUGCUGAUAAUUGUCCAUGGAGGAUACAUGCUUCUACGAUGGAGGAUAAGUGUAGUGUAGUGUAAUGAUCAUUUCUUGCAUAUAUGUAUUUCCUUGUAGCUAAUUACCUCUAUCUCUCUUUUGAAUGAGAAGAAAAACCCAUGUGAAUAUGAUUGCUCUAGUACAAGAAGAAAAAAUAAGAUGAAGAAUCUAACCAAGUUUUGGAUAUGUGAUAAGGUGAAGGAUUGGUUGAUUGAAGAUGGAACUCUCGGAGCGAAGGCAUUGGUGAAGAAGAUUAAAGAACACCACAAGGUUGACAUCCACUACAAAAGGGUUUAUAUGGGUAAGAUGCUAGCUCUGAAAGAACUCUAUGGUGAUUGGGAUAGCAGCUUCAACAAUUUGUAUAGGUUUAAAUGACAAGUUGAAAUAUCUUGCCCUGGUAGCAUAGUGCAGAUUGAUCAUUACACUAUAAAAGAAAAAAUCAGAUUUAUAAGGUUCUUCUUUGCUUUGAAACCUUGCAUAGAUGGAUUCCUUGCUAGUUGUAGACCAUAUUUGGCAGUAGAUAGCACAUUCUUAAUAGGAAGGUUCAAGGGGAAGCUGGCUAGUGCUACCGAUGUAGAUGGCCAUAAUUGGACGUAUCCACUUUGUGUUGGAAUUUUUGAUUCUGAAACAAAUGAGAACUGGAUCUGGUUCAUGCAGUUGCUUAGGCAAGCCAUAGGAUCACCAAUGGGUUUAGCCAUAAGCACUGAUUCCGGGAAGGCGGUGAUGACAGGGGUAAAGGAAGUAUUCCUAGAGGUAGAACAUAGGGAAUGCAUGUUUCACUUGGUGUCAAACUUUAAGAAAAAGUAUCACGGAAAAGUAUUUGACGACCACCUUUGGGAUGCUGCCUACUCAUCGAACAAAUAUAUAUUUGAGAAAAAUUGGGUUGCAAUGGAGACCGCAAAGCCAGCGGCAACUGCAUAUCUUAGGAAGUUGCACACUAGGUUGUGGACUAGGAGACAGUUCUCAACCAUUUGUAAGGUGGACUAUGUAACCAACAAUCUUGCAGAGUGCUUGAAUAAUUGGAUUAAGCACCACAAGUCUUUGAACUUGCAUGACUUAAUGGACAAGCUUAGGCAGAUGAUUAUGAUCAUGUGGAAUCGAAGGAGAAAAGUAGCAAAGAAACUAGAUGUCUUAUUGAUUUUGCCCCCACAUAAUUAAGAAGUUGAAUGCAAAGAGUAGAGAGUUAAACUUGGAGGUGGUAGAAAGAUCAGAAGAAGUUGCUGAAGUUACUCAAUUGGGAGGCAGCGGAUUUAGGUUUGUCGUUAACUCGCAUGACAACACAUGUUCUUGUAGACAAUGGCAAGUUUCUAGUCUUCCUUGCAGACAUGCUCUAGCAUUCAUCACAUCACUUGCCAAUGCACAUAUACAAAAGUUUGUGGACUCGUAUUACUCCGUUGACAAGUUUAGAGCAGCUUAUGGCCAACUAAUCCCCGCCAUGUGUGACAAGACCUAGUGGCCUGAAUCUAACCAUGGAUUCUUCAUGCAUCCACCCUUGCUAAAAGCCGUAGCUGGUCGGCCCAAAACAGAGAGGCAUAAGGGUUGUGGUGAGAAAAAGAGGAAAAGUGGCCAGCACUUAUGCCCUAUUUGUAAGGAAUACGGGCACCAUUGGAACAAGUGCAAGAAGGGGAACAGAGAUGACAUUGCUGCUUUGACGGAUGUGGGGUAAUGAACUAUGCAUUCUAUUUUCUUAUUGCAUAGUAACUACUUUCUUGCAUUACUAUUUUGUAUUCAACUAUGCAUAUGAACUACUUUCUUAUUGCUCGUGUUGAGUAACAAUGAAGAGGGGGAAGAUUACCAAAUCAGCCGAGUCAUCCAUUGUGCCAAGAGGUGAUGAAGCACCCACAACCAUGUAUUUUCCACCAAGCCAAAGCUUAGAAAUUACAACCAAGAAGUAGGGAAAACAUAGCCAAACCUUGGAGACUACAAAUAAGAAAAAUGGAAAAAGGUGUAAAAGAUCAACGAAGGGGAAAAGAUGGAGCUUGCUAAAAAGGAUAAAAUUUGUGCUAUGGUGCCAUUUGACAGCCCUGCAAUGGGCACUAGAAGCAAAAAGACUAGCCCAACCAGCCCCACAAUGAGCAAAACAAGCAAAAGAAGGCUUAGCUUGUGAACAUGUCAUAUUGUGUGAACUCAUGUGUGUGAAUCUUUGGUCACUUGGACUAUGUAUGUGAACCAGGAUAUGAUGACAAUCCUUCUGUGUUGCUCAUAUGAUGUGAACUUGAAUGUUGGACCUAUAUAUAUGAACCUGGAAAUGGUGUACGUGAUAUAUGCGUAUUUGGAUGUGAGCCUGGAUGUUUAUGUGCAAAUCUGAAUAUUAUUUGUUGAAA